CCUUGAACGAGGAGUCGCGGGGGCACUGCUUUGAGGCGGGGUUUGGAGGAGCGGCGGGUGGGCGGGCUUCUAGCAGACGGCAGGUGGCGUGAUUCUCCUGUGGGAGCCGGUGGAGAUUGGCCAGGGGGAACUGGCUCUCUCGCCAUCCUGCUAGAACGGCUCCAUGUCCAUGUGGAAGCGGUACCGCCACACCCUUUCCUGCUGUGGGGAGGCCAGUGGGGAGCCAGAAGGCACUUGUGUGGGAAAGGAUGCCAGGAAUGGAGACUGGCCACCACAGAGGCGAGCUUUGCAGAAAACACCUCCAUCUGGUCCUCUACUCUGCACGUGGUACAGUGGUGGAUAGGAAAUUAUGAAGAGAUGGUUUCUGGAUCUCAGCACGAAGAGAUGGUGCCUGGCCAUGAGGAACCUUCAUGUGCACUGAUUGGACAAUAAAUACACAAGCAGGAUGUCGCUAACAAUCACACUUCGACUACCUGCAGCCACACCAAGCUGUUCAGGGCUGGGAACUCAACAGCAGACUCCCAUUCAGGGAAAAGACGUUACGAGGGGCUGAGCGAUCUUCGGCAACACCCUUUGAACCCUUCUUGACACCACAACACACCGGUCAGCAGGAGAGAGGGAAGACGGCCUCGACCACCGUGCAUUUGGACUGAGGCAUCGCAUCAUCGGGGCGGUCGAGGGGUGCAGCCUUCACACCUCCCCUUGGUCUACCUGGAGCAGAAAAAUAUACUAGGACAUCUUUUCAGGCCAGCAGAUAAGUAUAUUUAAUUUGCAUGGAUGUUGUGGGCUCUGCGGUAUUAAACUAGUGGUUGGGACUUGCCCCCGUCAUUCUGUCUUUUGUCAGCAGCGAAAAUGACCUGGGUGCCUGCACCGGGCUUGGGACUGGACAUCGGUCCUUGGGCGGCUGGGGAAGGUUAAAGUCUAGCAAGGCACAGAGCUGUUGCAGAAUAAGGACAUGCCUUCCCAACAGAACCCUGAUGAUCUUGACCCCUUUGGCCCCUGACACAGGAGAAUACCAGCGGAUGAGGCGGGGACGAACAGAGGACAAGGCCACAUGGAGAGAGAGAAAGGUCACCAAGGGGUCUCCAUUACAAGCGGUCUUGAGCCCAGUAUGAUUUUCUCCUACAAUUGAAUCUACUCCCUGGAUGGCCUCCAGUGUUCAAGCUGAUGACAAUCGCCUGUCUUUGCAAUUGAUUUCCUGGAAGCGGCUGGCCGGCCAGCAGCCACAUGAUGGAUAUGUGCUGGGGGACUGGUGCGGCCGAGCGGGUCAUAGGAGCUGCUGCCCCUGAGGAUGAGACUCUCUGUCCUGCUCACCACCGUGUCCUGAUGCGCUGUGCCUGAACAAACGAUUGAUAAGUAUUUGUGGACAGAAUGAUGGAAAGAGGGAUCUGAAAACCUGGGAGCCCUCCCUGAGGGCUCCCAUGUGCGAAAGGGCCUCCCAUUAUAUGCUUUGGUGGCACUUGGCACUUCUCAUGACUCUCAUCGCAUUUUGCAAUUACUAUGAAUCUGUGGAAAUACUAUGUUGAUGCCAGUCUCUCUCUGAAGCCUGCGUCUGUUUUCUCAUUGCCUCCCUUGUGCCUGGUACAGGGUCUCAUGCAGAGCUGGUGCUCUGCGAAGAGCAGCUGUAGGAGUGAACGAAUGAAUGAAGACAAGGCCAAGGCCCUCGGAGGCUUUCCAUGGUCACUACGGGCUCAGAGAGAACAUUGCAGCUUUUUCCUGAAUGGUCGCCACGUGGAGCCGGAGUCAUUAGCAUCACGUCUCCCGCUUGCCAUGACCUGCUGACCACCCUAAGUAGAUAAAAAUGAAAAUGGCCAAGACAGCUGCAAGGCUCAGAAACAAACUGCCUGGUGGCUCUGCAGAGUCUUUUAUGUGGAAGCUUUCCGGAACAGCCCCGCCUUCCCCAUCCUCUCAAACCCCUGUAAAGCCGUCCUGAAAGUUUCUGCUUCUCUAGCUGCUGGUCCCCGGUGAGGGCAGAACCCCUUUCUCGGGAGCAGAGCCCAAGUGUGAGCGGCCCCCACCACAGGCGUGCGCUCCAGUGCUCUUCCCCCAGUCUGGGAGUUGGAGCAUCGGUCCGCAGUUUCUGGAGGACAAAAUCUGAGACAACCGACGGCCACCUGACAGCCUCCCAAGGAUGGGAGUGAUGGCCCAAGCACAUGAAGUCAGGUGCCAGAAAGUCCUGUUUAUGAAGCUCUUCUUCUGGGAAAGGCCAUGUGCCGGGUCUGCAAAAGUGAAUCUGCCCCCAGUUUUGUUCCGGUGGGGGACUGCCUGCGAGUCACAUGUUAGGUUCUUAUAGAUGCCUGAGAACAAGACAGGCUUAGGCUGAUCUGCAGACCGUGCGACUCUUGAUCUCGGGGUUGUGAGUUCGAGCCCCAUGUCGGGCAUAGAGCUUACUUUUUAAAAAGGUAGCGGGAGGGGGAGGGGAGUGCGUGGGUGGCUCAGCUGGUCAAGCGUCAGACUUCCGCACAGGUCGUGAUGAGUUCAGGCACCCGGUCGAGCUCUCUGCUGUCAGCGCGGAGCCGCUUCGGAUCCUCUGUCCUCCCUCUCUCUCUGACCCCCUCCCCCGCUCUCUAUCGCUCAAAAAUAAAUACGCAUUAAAAAAUUGUUUUUAAUUAAAAAAAAAAAAAGACAAGCUCAGGCUAACUUAGGUGCUGGGGCCCUAGGAAGCAGGAAACAUUGGUGCCUGCCCUCAAGGAAACAAGAUACAAUAAAUUCUUGCGAACACGAAGGUGUCACUGGGCAGGAGGGCCUGGUAAGACAAAACAUGGGCAUGUGCUUUGUAUCAGGGGUCUAGCAGGCUUCAUAAGAGUGUCACGGGUCAGGCCCAGGGGCUGAGAGAAAGGCAGCGAGGAGGCUGGGGACGGUAGUCAGUGUCCCGCGACGGCCACAAGCAUCUUCCGUUCUGGUACGCGCCCUUCGCCACACCCUUCAGGAGGAGAAAUCUGUUUCCCCUCCUCCUGAAUCUGGGCUGACCCCGUGACUUGCUUUGACCAGCAGAACGUGGUAGAAGUGACACUGUGCCAGCUGGCCCCUACGGAGCCCGGCAGCUUCCGCUUUCAUUCCUUGGGAAGCCGGCUGCCACGUAAGAAAUCCAACUACCCUGAAGCCACCAUGCCGGCCACAUGGACAGGCCAUGUGGAGGAGGGCUGAGGUGCCAGGCGUGUAAAUGAAGCCUUCUGGGCCCUUCCCUCCCAGCCCAGCGGGCAGCCGAAUGCAAACGAGUGACCCCAGGUAACUCAUGAACGGAGAACCACCGAGGCGGGCCCUGCCUAAAUUCCUGACUCACGAAAUCACGAGAAAGAAUAAACUAACUUUUCUAGUUGAUUGUUCCACGGCGAUAGAUUGCCGAAACACUUGGGUUCUCGUCUCAGUUCGGACACUCGCAGGCGAGAUCUGUGAGCUUGCCGGCCCUGUUUUCUGGCCUGCAAGAUGGCGGGCAGGUGAGAUCACGCAUCCAAACCCCCGCGCGCGGGGCCUGGCACACUGCUCGUGCUCAUACCAAGAAUGUAUGAUUGUUAGCGAGGUGGUGCCAAGAUGCCCACAUCCGGCUCCACCCUAAGUGGCGGCCAUUCGGAUCAUAUCGUCCCACGUCCUCGCAUGAGUGGCCAUCAUUCUCCUCUAAUGGGAAUGGCCUGUCACCAGGGUGACACCUUGGCUAAGAGCCGUGGCUUCUGAGCCAGACAAGCAUGGACACAAGCCCUUCUCUGCCAGUUUCUAGCUUUGUGACCUCACACAAGUUAUUUAAAGUCAUUGAACCUUGGUUUCUUCACCUGAAAAGUGAGGCAGUCAGACCAGCUCCUUCUCUGGGAAGCCUACCCUGAUUAACCUCUCCCCACCCCUUUUCUCUAAAUAGAGCUUUGUCAUAUCCUGCUUGUAAGACAGGUGCUAAUUUCUGAACUUUCAGAAGAGGGCUGAAAUGAACUAUAUUGGAUGGCAAGAGGGGGUAGGGGACCCUUGAUCAUACUUUGUUCAUAAAUAUAGCUCCUCAUUAUUGA